rnacentral:rRNA from 1 species
CAUCGCCGCGGUAAUACGGAGGGUGCAAGCGUUAAUCGGAAUUACUGGGCGUAAAGCGCACGCAGGCGGUCUGACAAGUCAGAUGUGAAAUCCCCGGGCUUAACCUGGGAACUGCAUUUGAAACUGUCAGGCUGGAGUCUUGUAGAGGGGGGUGGAAUUCCAGGUGUAGCGGUGAAAUGCGUAGAGAUCUGGAGGAAUACCGGUGGCGAAGGCGGCCCCCUGGACAAAGACUGACGCUCAGGUGCGAAAGCGUGGGGAGCAAACAGGAUUAGAUACCCCUGUAGUCCCUGUCUCUUAUACA